rnacentral:lncRNA from 1 species
AGAUUGUCAGCUGAAGGAGUACUUUCGGCUUAUCGAAAUUGCCGUUUAGCAACUGAUUUACGCUGUUUCGAAGUCGGCGGAGGAGUAACGUGUACAGUUUCAGUCGGUCUUUUAUUUGAAGCUGCGACCGAUGAAGAAGCCGGAGUUGACUGCAGAGAAGAGAAUUUAGAAAAUUGGAGAGGAAAGGUGAAUAAGUUGCAAAAGAAAGAGGUUUAACCUCAGAGAGCUGUUCUGUUUCUUCUAUUGGUGAGAUAGGGGGAUCAGCCGGAACAAUUGGAUGAAUAGUUCUUCGGAAUGCCCGAAGAAGAGAAAGAUCGAG